rnacentral:rRNA from 1 species
AUUGAACGCUGGCGGAAUGCUUUACACAUGCAAGUCGAGCGGCAGCACGGGGGCAACCCUGGUGGCGAGCGGCGAACGGGUGAGUAAUACAUCGGAACAUGCCCAGUCGUGGGGGAUAACACUUCGAAAGAAGUGCUAAUACCGCAUACGUCCUGAGGGAGAAAGCGGGGGAUCGCAAGACCUCGCGCGAUUGGAGUGGCCGAUGUCAGAUUAGCUAGUUGGUGGGGUAAAGGCCUACCAAGGCAACGAUCUGUAGCUGGUCUGAGAGGAUGAUCAGCCACACUGGGACUGAGACACGGCCCAGACUCCUACGGGAGGCAGCAGUGGGGAAUUUUGGACAAUGGGGGCAACCCUGAUCCAGCCAUUCCGCGUGAGUGAAGGAGGCCUUCGGGUUGUAAAGCUCUUUCGGCAGGAACGAAACGGCGAGCUCUAACAUAGCUUGCUAAUGACGGUACCUGAAGAAGAAGCACCGGCUAACUACGUG